GAAAUGCGAUAAGUAGUGUGAAUUGCAGAAUUCAGUGAAUCAUCGAAUCUUUGAACGCACAUUGCGCCCUUUGGUAUUCCUUAGGGCAUGCCUGUUCGAGCGUCAUUUAAACCUUCAAGCCCUGCUUGGUGUUGGGUGCCUGUCCCGCCUCCGCGCGCGGACUCACCUCAAAUCCAUUGGCGGCCCCCGCGUCGGCCACGAGCGCAGCAGAAACGCGAACUCGUGAGCCCGUCCGGGCGGCUCCCAGAAGCUACACCCACCCAGUUUGACCUCGGAUCAGGUAGGGAUACCCGCUGAACUUAAGC
rnacentral:misc_RNA from 1 species